rnacentral:rRNA from 1 species
CCUACGUGGAGCAGCAGUGAGGAAUAUUGGUCAAUGGGCGCGAGCCUGAACCAGCCAAGUAGCGUGAAGGAUGACUGCCCUACGGGUUGUAAACUUCUUUUAUAAAGGAAUAAAGUGAGGCACGUGUGCCUUUUUGUAUGUACUUUAUGAAUAAGGAUCGGCUAACUCCGUGCCAGCAGCCGCGGUAAUACGGAGGAUCCGAGCGUUAUCCGGAUUUAUUGGGUUUAAAGGGAGCGUAGAUGGGUUGUUAAGUCAGUUGUGAAAGUUUGCGGCUCAACCGUAAAAUUGCAAUUGAUACUGGCAGUCUUGAGUACAGUUGAGGUAGGCGGAAUUCAUGGUGUAGCGGUGAAAUGCUUAGAUAUCACGAAGAACUCCGAUUGCGAAGGCAGCUUACUAAACUGCCACUGACAUUGAUGCUCGAAAGUGUGGGUAUCAAACAGGAUUAGAUACCCCGGUAGUC